ensembl:misc_RNA Y_RNA Y RNA
GACUGGUCUGAGUGCCUGUGGUGUUUACAACUAACUGAUCACAAUUAGUUACAGAUUACUUUCUCCCUUCUCCAUUUCCACUGUUUCACUUGACUAACCUAAG